UACGGAGGGUGCGAGCGUUAAUCGGAAUUACUGGGCGUAAAGCGCACGUAGGCUGUUGUGUAAGUCAGAGGUGAAAUCCCGCGGCUCAACCGCGGAACUGCCUUUGAUACUGCAUGACUGGAAUCCGGGAGAGGGUGGCGGAAUUCCAGGUGUAGGAGUGAAAUCCGUAGAUAUCUGGAGGAACAUCAGUGGCGAAGGCGGCCACCUGGACCGGAAUUGACGCUGAGGUGCGAAAGCGUGGGGAG
rnacentral:rRNA from 1 species